rnacentral:tRNA from 1 species
CGCGGGGUGGAGCAGUCUGGCAGCUCGUCGGGCUCAUAACCCGNNCAAAUCCUGCCCCCGCUACCA